rnacentral:rRNA from 1 species
GACGAACGCUGGCGGCGUGCUUAACACAUGCAAGUCGAACGGAAAGGCCCUGCUUUUGUGGGGUGCUCGAGUGGCGAGCGGGUGAGUAACACGUGAGUAACCUGCCCUUGACUUUGGGAUAACUUCAGGAAACUGGGGCUAAUACCGGAUAGGAGCUCCUGCUGCAUGGUGGGGGUUGGAAAGUUUCGGCGGUUGGGGAUGGACUCGCGGCUUAUCAGCUUGUUGGUGGGGUAGUGGCUUACCAAGGUUUUGACGGGUAGCCGGCCUGAGAGGGUGACCGGCCACAUUGGGACUGAGAUACGGCCCAGACGCCUACGGGAGGCAGCAGGGGGGAAUAUUGCACAAUGGGCGGAAGCCUGAUGCAGCAACGCCGCGUGCGGGAUGAUGGCUUUCGGGUUGUAAACCGCUUUCGCCUGUGACGAAGCGGGAGUGACGGUAAUGGGUAAAGAAGCACCGGCUAACUACGUG